AUGCACGCUGGCGGCGUGCCUAAUACAUGCCAGUCGAGCGAACAGACGAGGAGCUUGCUCCUCUGACGUUAGCGGCGGACGGGUGAGUAACACGUGGAUAACCUACCUAUAAGACUGGGAUAACUUCGGGAAACCGGAGCUAAUACCGGAUAAUAUAUUGAACCGCAUGGUUCAAUAGUGAAAGACGGUUUUGCUGUCACUUAUAGAUGGAUCCGCGCCGCAUUAGCUAGUUGGUAAGGUAACGGCUUACCAAGGCAACGAUGCGUAGCCGACCUGAGAGGGUGAUCGGCCACACUGGAGCUGAGACACGGUCCAGACUCCUACGGGAGGCAGCAGUAGGGAAUCUUCCGCAAUGGGCGAAAGCCUGACGGAGCAACGCCGCGUGAGUGAUGAAGGUCUUCGGAUCGUAAAACUCUGUUAUUAGGAAAGAACAAAUGUGUAAGUAACUAUGCACGUCUUGACGGUACCUAAUCAGAAAGCCACGGCUAACUACGUG
rnacentral:rRNA from 1 species